GCCCGCACUCAGGCACAAGCUACAGCUCGGGAUCCGUCCUCCAGUCCACUGGCUCCUACGCGAGGCACCGUUAAGCAGAGGCGAUAUCACACCCCGGAGCACGGCUGAGGCCAGCCGCCCUCACAGCCGUGAAUGGCAGCGUCUGGCGGUGCGGAAACUGGUUUCUGGAGUGACUUGCAGUGUGUUGCGCUCAGCUGGACGGUGACUAUGGUGGCAGCCCUGUCUCGAGGUGCACGGUGUCCUGACUGAAACAACUCCACGUGGUUCCUGGUGUGCGAUAACUCACGAAAGGCUCAGGUACCAGGGAUUGAACUCAGGUCCUUGUGCUUGUGAGGCAGGCAGCAGAACCACUGAGCUAAAUCCCCAGUCCUUCUUUGUCUCUCUUAAUAGUCUUGGCUUGAAAUCCACUUUGUCUGCAAAUAAGAUAGCAACUCCUGCUUUUUUCCAGUUUCCUGUUUCAUGGAAUAUUGUUUUCCAUCCCUUGACUUUCAGUCU
rnacentral:lncRNA from 1 species